rnacentral:rRNA from 1 species
ACAGUGGACGCGAGCAUCUGUGGCCAAGUUUUUAAGGGCGCACGGUGGAUGCCUUGGCACCAGGAACCGAUGAAGGACGUGGGAGGCCACGAUAGUCCCCGGGGAGCUGUCAACCAAGCUUUGAUCCGGGGGUUUCCGAAUGGGGAAACCCGGCAGUCGUCAUGGGCUGUCACCCGCUGCUGAACACAUAGGCAGUGUGGAGGGAACGAGGGGAAGUGAAACAUCUCAGUACCCUCAGGAAGAGAAAACAACCGUGAUUCCGGGAGUAGUGGCGAGCGAAACCGGAUGAGGCCAAACCGUAUGCGUGUGAUACCCGGCAGGGGUUGCGCAUGCGGGGUUGUGGGAGUUCUCUUGAUCAAUCUGCCGAUUGGUCGGCAAGUCAGAAACCGUUGGUGUAGGCGAAGGACAUGCGAAAGGUCCGGCGUAGAGGGUAAGACCCCCGUAGCUGAAACAUCAACGGCUUGCUUGAGAACCACCCAAGUAGCACGGGGCCCGAGAAAUCCCGUGUGAAUCUGGCGGGACCACCCGCUAAGCCUAAAUAUUCCCUGGUGACCGAUAGCGGAUAGUACCGUGAGGGAAUGGUGAAAAGUACCGCGGGAGCGGAGUGAAAUAGUACCUGAAACCGUGUGCCUACAAGCCGUGGGAGCGUCGCUGGCAGCACUUGUGCUGUCAGUCGUGACUGCGUGCCUUUUGAAGAAUGAGCCUGCGAGUUAGCGGUGUGUAGCGAGGUUAACCCGUGUGGGGAAGCCGUAGCGAAAGCGAGUCCGAAUAGGGCGAUUGAGUUGCACGCUCUAGACCCGAAGC